AUUUAUAUAGUUUAAAAAAAACUUUACACUUUCACUGUAAAAUUAGAGAACACCUCUUAUAAAUU
rnacentral:tRNA from 1 species